ACUUCACCUUUGUUCUAGAGUUUUUCAUAAGUUUUCAAAAUAAAACUCAGAGUUCCCAGCAAUGAUUCUCUCAAGUCUCUCUAUAUGUAGUAUUUGUGGAUCCUUACCAUAAUGUCACUUACCUAUAGCUAAUGGAAUGUUUAAGUGGAGCUCAUAGGAGUGAAAAACAGCUCAUACAUAUGUUGUCUAAUCGAGCCAUGGAUCCAAAGGAACUCAGCAUAUAAUUAAAUCAAGAUGUGCAUGUGUGAUGGAGUAAAUGAUAGUGAUGGUGAAAAUGCAUAAGUGACAAUGAAACUUAGUUCUCAUUGCUCCUCAUAUUGCUAUCUCUCCUCUUCUUUGAUCUUUGCUUUGGGAGAACAUGGGCUAUCUCUUUUUUUUUUCAGGUGGAUAGUAAAUACCCCUAAUUCUACUGUCGGACACUUGUCCAUUUUUUCCGCUCAAGUGGGCAUUUUUGUACCCCUAAUUCUACUUCGGACACUUGUCCAUUUUUACCUCUCAUCUCACUCUUUUUCUUUCUUUUCUGAGGUUCCGGGCACUUGCCCCUUUUUAUUUCCUCGCAUAUUUUUGCAUAACCCAUGCCUCUUCUGCAUUGAAUCUUUUUAGAGAGAGAGAAUAACAAUAUUCGGGACAGUGAGUGAUAAUAUUUUUAGCAAUUUUAAUGAUUGAUGAUGAAUGCUGUGGUAGAUGUGUGCAAGUGAAUAUCUUAACUUAAUCACAUGAAAAGCUCCUAAGGGUCAACACAGCUCGAUCAAACUCAAUGUAAGUGUAGUAAAAGAUGUUAUAGCAAGUAUGGCUGUGGUAGGUAGUUUGUUAUGCUAGGAACUCAACAUGUGAUUUGUAAGUUUUCAAAAUAAAUCUCUAGAACUUAGUGUAGUAGGAACAAGAUAAACAGUAGCUCAAUUUUAUAUCAUGCCUUUCUCUU
rnacentral:lncRNA from 1 species